UGGUAUGAGUGCCAGAAAAGAUAGCGAACCUGUAUUUGUUUUUGUUCUUUUGUCUUGUUAUGUGAUACCGCUCAUGGUCACUCAAUGCCAGAGGGCUCGCGAGUGCGUUGCCGGCCUUUUAUUCGGAAAUACUUCAUUACUCAGCAAAAACUGCCUUAAAAAUCGCUAAGUUGUGGAGCGAUUUGCAAGGUCGUGCAUCCAACCCCGUCAAUGGAUUUUUCUAUGCCCAUUACAUUGUGUUGCUAAAACGAUGAAGAAAGACGUUAAGACCUCUUUUAUUGAAGGACCCUAAGUCGAAUUGGUUCGAAAGUACUUCAGUAGGCACCUGGUUCCACAUAGUGAUUCACAGAUGGACUUUUAAUACAAGUAUGAAGUAGAAGUGACCCUAAGAAGAUAUAGAAGCAUCAGGACGCGAAUGGAGAAGAAAAGCCAUGAAUAGAGAAAUUUAGAAAAAGCUAGAGGAGAUCUAUACCCGUAAAGGGGUGACAAUAAAUAGUACGUAGAAGUGAGGAAAUUUAUAUAAAAAAUGUUUACAACAAAUCAAAACUGUAUAUUCAACAUUUGUAUUUGGAAAUAAACGGUCUUUAUUAGUA